UGCUUCUGGAUCAGGUGAGCGUGUCAAGUGUGCUGAGCGCUUGCACCUGGGCGGGCAUGGUGAAAUUUGGUAGCCAGGUGCAUGCGUGCGCUGCCAAGGUGGGGCUGGACCCGGGCGCAGUCUGUGUUAGCAAUGGCCUUCUUGAUAUGUACACCAGGUGUGGGUGCUCGCGGGAAGCUUUGGUCCUGUUCGAUGCUAUGGAUAGCAGGGAUGCCAUCACUUGGAACGUUGUCAUUUGUGCCUGCAUUCAUGAGAGCCGCUUGGCAUUGUUAGCUCGCUUAUCACCAUGUAUUCAAAAUGUGGCAGCUUGGGCGGUGCACUCCGAGCAUUUGAGGUAGCAGAAGAUCGCUUCUGUGUGAUGUCAUGGACGGCCAUGAUCACUGCACUGCAGCAGAAUGGACAUGGAGUACAGGCGGUUGGUAUGUUUGAGAAAAUGCUAGAGCAUGGCAUCCCUCCAGACCACAUCACAUUUGUUAGUGUUCUCUCUUCCUGUAGCCACAGCGGACUUGUUGAGCAAGGACGCAAGUACUUCAAAUUGAUGACCCAAGUUCAUAAGAUCACACCUUCGACUGAGCAUUAUGCGUGCAUUGUUGACAUGUUUGGGCGAGCAGGCCUUCUAAGUGAGGCGAAACAAUUCAUUGACCAGAUGAGAGUUAAGCCAGAUGCAUCAGUCCUUGGAGCACUACUUUCAGCUUGCAUGAACUGCAGGGACCUUGAGAUGGGAGAGGAGGUUGCUAAGAAGUUGUUUGUGAUUAAACCUGGAAAUAUCGGGAACUAUGUCCUGCUUGCUAAUAUCUACACAUCACAUGGAAGAUUGGAGGAGGCAAAAGAGGUGCGGAAAUUGAUGAGGUUUCAGGAGUUAAGGAAAGAGAAGGGAUGCAGCUUAAUCAAAGAUGAGAGCCAAAACUCUAUGUUAUGAAUCUUCAGCAAUGAGCUCGCUACACGUUUGACAUACAUACAGUAAACAGAUUUUUGCAUGCUCAAGGGUUCCUGAACAUCCCAGCCAUUGAUUCUGGAAUAUACGAUCCAAACCAUAUGUGAACACGCAAAAUGAAGAACAAUUACGUUACUAACAAUGUGAUCAGUAUAUGUGUUCCUCAUAGUUGGAUUACCAAUAUUGCAUGCCGAAUUACGCAGCAAAAGGAGGAAACAAAAGCACAGCAUCUGUUGCAACUAUUGAAUUGUGAUUUGAUCAUAUUUGGAGCACAUUCUCUUGUCUGGCAGAUGAGGGCCUCAGGUUAAGGUUCCAAGUUCUAGCCUUCUCCCACAUUAGGUGAUGGGAGUCUUGAACAUGUGGCGGAGUUUAGCAAGGAGGCUGUCGUACCCUUCCAGCAAGAGCAAAUCCAGCUUCCGGCCGAUCGGAACGCCUUCCAUGUACACCUUCACGAACAAUGUCCGCCGCCGGCGUGCUGACGCCAUCAAGGCGCUUCUGAGGAACGGCUUGAUUGGGGGCCAAUCAGGGUGUACUUGGUUCCUGCCCAUCAUCCGUCCGUGUUGACAGUGUUGUUAAUAAAUUUGGAUGAUGUCCACAAGGAAACUAAUUAGAUGGGGAGUACUGUUGGAUAUUAAUUGGGGGCGCUCUACAUCUCUGAAAUAUGAUAACAACAACACAGAUCUGAAGUUGUUGUGAAGAUUGCGAUGAUCAAUGAAGGAUCUUAAAAAGAGUGAAAUGUCUGGCUCAAAGAAUAAAAAAGUAAAUCUGAUUCUGUAUACCUCUGCUUUCUUAGUAUGAUCGAGUAUUCAAGUUGAUCGUAAAAAUGAAAGAAGCUUAUGUGCCCAAGGAAAAUAAGGG